rnacentral:rRNA from 1 species
GACGAACGCUGGCGGCGUGCUUAACACAUGCCAGUCGAACGGAAAGGCCCUGCGUUUGUGGGGUGCUCGAGUGGCGAACGGGUGAGUAACACGUGAGUAACCUGCCCUUGACUUUGGGAUAACUUCAGGAAACUGGGGCUAAUACCGGAUAGGAGCUCCUGCUGCAUGGUGGGGGUUGGAAAGUUUCGGCGGUUGGGGAUGGACUCGCGGCUUAUCAGCUUGUUGGUGGGGUAGUGGCUUACCAAGGCUUUGACGGGUAGCCGGCCUGAGAGGGUGACCGGCCACAUUGGGACUGAGAUACGGCCCAGACUCCUACGGGAGGCAGCAGUGGGGAAUAUUGCACAAUGGGCGGAAGCCUGAUGCAGCAACGCCGCGUGCGGGAUGACGGCCUUCGGGUUGUAAACCGCUUUCGCCUGUGACGAAGCGUGAGUGACGGUAAUGGGUAAAGAAGCACCGGCUAACUACGUG